ACAAAGGCGUUUCCAAACGCCACUGAAAUUGUCUGAUAAAAUUCA
rfam:Drosophila persimilis strain MSH-3 cont1.008290, whole genome shotgun sequence.